rnacentral:lncRNA from 10 species
UGCGCCUCGGCUCCGAAGCCAGUGCCCCGGCAUACGCCCUCUCGCGUCCCAUUCCCCUCGCUUCCCCCGUUGCCUUGCUUUGCCGUCCGUGGUUCACCCCACGGCAGUCACUUUACCUGCGUGCCAGGCCCUGUGCCGAUAGCCAGGGACACAGCGAGCGGCGCAUUCCUUGCCCUUGCGGAGCGCACAGCCCUGGGAGUCGACGUUAAGCGGGGUAAUCCCUCGGCGCGCAGUGAGGGUAGAGUGGAGAAAUCUUACAAAGAGCGCAAAACAGAAGGCGCGGAUCUAGUCGGAGAGGUCAGGGAGCCCUCCCCGAGGAGGAGAAGUUUGAGCCGAGAUUGGAAGGCUGUGUAGAGAAUUAAGGUUGUGGGACGGAAAGCACUUGGCGGGGCCUUACCCCGGUACUUCUCGGCCGGGGCGAUUUUGCUUCCCUGGGGACAUUGGUCGAUGUCUGGAAACACUUUUGAUAGUCACAGCUCCAGGGCUUGCUACUGGCAUCUAGUGCGAAGAAGCCAGGGAUGCUGUUACACAGCCUACUGUGUGUAGGACGCCCCCAACAACAAAGAAAAAUCCCCCAAAAUGUCAGUAGGGCGGAAGGUGAGGAAGCUUCCUUCAGCGAGAAGGAGCUGGUGCUUUGGUUGAACUGAAAGUUAGUGUGUUCAGGUUUAUUUGUUCAACAGUAUAUUCAACGCUUACUUCACCUCAGUUAAUGAGAGCGAUCCUUUACACCAGUACAUUCCCAACACGUGGCUCAGAGCCAGGCGCAUAGUAGGCACGCAGUAAAUUUCGGUUGAUGAAUUGAACACUGGGAUAAGUAGGGGGCGGUGGUGAUACAAGGACGAUGAAGCUAGCCAGGCCUCAUUUAUUUGCCCUCAAACCUUGUCUGCUUUAUAGUGAUCUGGUGGUUUUGUAUGUCUCACGACUUUUCUUUGUAAAGGCAACUUCUUGUCAAGGAUUUGGCUUCUCUUUCACAAGGUUUAAUGAAUGAUCAAGGCGGUGAAAAUAGUGUAAUGGUGUGAGAUCCUUCGUGUGUCUGUGUCAGCUGUCUGUGUAUCCCUUCAAAUCCUCUCUUGUCUUGAUGUGGUUCUCUUAACAGCUG